UGGGGAAUAUUGCACAAUGGAGGGAACUCUGAUGCAGCGACGCCGCGUGAACGAAGAAGGCUUUCGAGUCGUAAAGUUCUUUUAUAUGGGAAGAUAAUGACGGUACCAUAAGAAAAAGCCCCGGCUAUCUACGUGCCAGCAGCCGCGGUAUUACGUAGGGGGCUAGCGUUGUUCGGAAUCACUGGGCGUAAAGGGUUCGCAGGCGGAAAUGCAAGUCAGGUGUAAAAGGCAGUAGCUUAACUACUGUAAGCAUUUGAAACUGCAUAUCUUGAGAAGAGUAGAGGUAAGUGGAAUUUUUAGUGUAGCGGUGAAAUGCGUAAAUAUUAAAAAGAAUACCGGUGGCGAAGGCGACUUACUGGGCUCAUUCUGACGCUGGGGAACGAAAGGGUGGGUAGCAAACAGG
rnacentral:rRNA from 1 species